rnacentral:rRNA from 1 species
UACGUAGGGUGCAAGCGUUAUCCGGAAUUAUUGGGCGUAAAGAGCUCGUAGGCGGUUUGUCGCGUCUGCUGUGAAAACUGGAGGCUCAACCUCCAGCUUGCAGUGGGUACGGGCAAACUAGAGUGCGGUAGGGGAGAUUGGAAUUCCUGGUGUAGCGGUGGAAUGCGCAGAUAUCAGGAGGAACACCGAUGGCGAAGGCAGAUCUCUGGGCCGUAACUGACGCUGAGGAGCGAAAGCAUGGGUAGCGAACAGG